ACAGGAAUCGUCCAAGGAUUGAAGGGAG
rnacentral:piRNA from 1 species